CAGCACCUCAAGUGGUCAGGAUGAUUAUUGGGCCUAAAGCAUCCGUAGCCUGUUCUGUAAGUUUCCGGUUAAAUCCAUUAGCUCAACUAAUGGGCCGCCGAAAAUACUGCAGAACUAGGGAGUGGGAGAGGUAGACGGUACUCGGUAGGAAGGGGUAAAAUCCUUUGAUCUAUUGAUGACCACCUGUGGCGAUGGCGGUCUACCAGAACACGUUCGACGGUGAGGGAUGAAAGCUGGGGGAGCAAACCGGAUUAGAUACCCGAGUAGUCC
rnacentral:rRNA from 1 species